rnacentral:rRNA from 1 species
GAUGAACGCUGGCGGCGUGCCUAAUACAUGCAAGUCGAGCGAACGGACGAGAAGCUUGCUUCUCUGGUGUUAGCGGCGGACGGGUGAGUAACACGUGGAUAACCUACCUAUAAGACUGGGAUAACUUCGGGAAACCGGAGCUAAUACCGGAUAAUAUUUUGAACCGCAUGGUUCAAAAGUGAAAGACGGUCUUGCUGUCACUUAUAGAUGGAUCCGCGCUGCAUUAGCUAGUUGGUAAGGUAACGGCUUACCAAGGCAACGAUGCAUAGCCGACCUGAGAGGGUGAUCGGCCACACUGGAACUGAGACACGGUCCAGACUCCUACGGGAGGCAGUAGUAGGGAAUCUUCCGCAAUGGGCGAAAGCCUGACGGAGCAACGCCGCGUGAGUGAUGAAGGUCUUCGGAUCGUAAAACUCUGUUAUUAGGGAAGAACAUAUGUGUAAGUAACUGUGCACAUCUUGACGGUACCUAAUCAGAAAGCCACGGCUAACUACGUG